UGGGGAAUAUUGGACAAUGGGCGAAAGCCUGAUCCAGCCAUGCCGCGUGUGUGAAGAAGGUCUUCGGAUUGUAACGCACUUUAAGUUGGGAGGAAGGGCAUUAACCUAAUACGUUAGUGUUUUGACGUUACCGACAGAAUAAGCACCGGCUAACUCUGUGCCAGCAGCCGCGGUAAUACAGAGGGUGCAAGCGUUAAUCGGAAUUACUGGGCGUAAAGCGCGCGUAGGUGGUUUGUUAAGUUGGAUGUGAAAUCCCCGGGCUCAACCUGGGAACUGCAUUCAAAACUGACUGACUAGAGUAUGGUAGAGGGUGGUGGAAUUUCCUGUGUAGCGGUGAAAUGCGUAGAUAUAGGAAGGAACACCAGUGGCGAAGGCGACCACCUGGACUAAUACUGACACUGAGGUGCGAAAGCGUGGGGAGCAAACA
rnacentral:rRNA from 1 species